rnacentral:rRNA from 1 species
AACGAACGCUGGCGGCAGGCCUAACACAUGCAAGUCGAGCGAAGCCUUCGGGCUUAGCGGCGGACGGGUGAGUAACGCGUGGGAACGUGCCCUUUGGUACGGAAUAGCCCCGGGAAACUGGGAGUAAUACCGUAUGUGGUCGAGAGACGAAAGAUUUAUCGCCAAAGGAUCGGCCCGCGUUGGAUUAGGUAGUUGGUGGGGUAAUGGCCUACCAAGCCGACGAUCCAUAGCUGGUUUGAGAGGAUGAUCAGCCACACUGGGACUGAGACACGGCCCAGACUCCUACGGGAGGCAGCAGUGGGGAAUCUUAGACAAUGGGGGAAACCCUGAUCUAGCCAUGCCGCGUGAGCGAUGAAGGCCUUAGGGUUGUAAAGCUCUUUCAGUGGGGAAGAUAAUGACGGUACCCACAGAAGAAGCCCCGGCUAACUCCGUGCCAGCAGCCGCCGUAAGAC